rnacentral:lncRNA from 1 species
CUUUGUGUUUGGAUGCUUAUACUAGCCCCUAGUUAGCCCAUAGCUAACUAGCUAACAAAUGAUGUCCAGUAAACCAGCAAAUCCAGCAAUAAUAAUGGCCAGCAACACAGCAAAUGUCAGAACAUUGGCAUGGUCCCAGCAGAGCUGCUUCGUUCCCCCAACAUAUCAUAGUGACCGGAACUGUAACAUCGGGUCAAAGGGAGCCAAGAAAGUUAUAUUCAUACAUCUCAAUUUGGGACAGAAUGGAAAGAUUAAUUGCAAUUUUCCACACUGGAAGAAUGGAAAGCGAGGCGGUCGAGCUGGGGAAACUGAAAAGGACCUUCAUUAACCAAAGCCAUCAUCUGGACUGACCAUGGAGUUGCAUUUAAAGAAAAAUAGUUUGUUUUGACGUGAAAUGCUCCAUUCUAGAGAAAGCUGUCAAAUCAGAUUAAAGUUUAUUGCCUCUAAAAGCUCUAUUAGAGAAAAUUAUAGAAAUAUAUGCUAGAAAUAUGCUGCUUGAUGUCUGAUGCAUUGUUUUUAUGAAAGAUCUGUGCUAAAGUUUUAGCAUAAAAGGUAUUUUAAGUCGUUUUUUGAAUGCAUCAGUAGUGAAAAAAUACACCAACGAGUGGAAGUACUAAG